ncrna:unclassified sequences DTF805b RNA
ACGGCGGAUUCCGAAAAGCCGGAUAGUGGAGAGAGUAGGAA